UCUUUCUGAUCCUAUUUCUUGCCUUUCCAAAUACCCUAAUAAGUUUGUUUCCGUAGACGAUCCUCCUCCCAAAAUUUAUUUGAUAACAGUUUCUCGUCGUCUCCUCUCUAUUUUAAAGGCAAACUUGGAACUCUUUUUCUUAUGAUCUCUGAUAUUUGUUACGAUAAUAAUGAUUAGUGGAUUUGUGAAGCGGCCCGAAGGCAAAGGAUCAGAGUUCAGCUAUAAAGUUGUCUCUGGCAAAUAAGAAUCAGGCGGUUGCUGCUGUGGCGGAAGAUUCAACGGAGGAUUCCGACAUCAUCUGAAGGUUGUUCAGAAGUGGCAAAAGUGUAUUACUUGAUGCAGAUAUUACGAUUGAUAAAAUCGGCCUCAACCUCCGCAGCUGCAUCAGACGCGAGUUCAACCACCCAAGGAUGAAACUCCAUCGCCCCAAUUGAGUCCAGAAGAGACUGGAGAAGAGCAAGGACCCAGCUUUCCCACGGUGAAGCUGAAGGAAACGGUGUAAGGGGAAGAGGCGGUGAAAGGGUUGGGACUUCAGAGAAUAAAAACGGAAGAUGAAGCUGAACAAGAGGCUUUGAGUAUAUUCCUUGGAGAUUCUGCAGACGGAGAGAAAUUUGCAAAAGACCCAAGAUUUUAAAUGAGUUAGCAGAAGGAUAUGAGGGUAUCUGAAAAAGGCUUUCAGCUUUGCCUUCUACUGCUCAGUGCUCAUGAUGCCUCCGUACUAAUCUCAUGAUUGAGUGUGAGCCAAGCAUAUUUGAUGCCUGAAUUUGGAGCGAACACUUUAACUAAUAAACAGUGAUGAGUAUCUAGAUCUUAUAUUCUUAUCACAACUAUUGUCACCAAGAGAAUUGCUAGAGUUACAAAUUGUCGUGUGCAUGCUCGAGGAGUGGCCGUUAAGUCAAGUGAGUGGUUUUUGUUAUUGAUUGCUCUAAACCAGCUGAUGAUACGAACAUGGAUUUCUCCACGCUUGAGAAGUUUCUUCAGGAACAAAUCAAAGUCGGCGCCAAGCCGGAACUCUUAGUGACACCGUUUCCAUUAUGCGAGAGAGACAAAGGCAAGAUCACCGUUAUCGUCAUCACCGCUCCCAACCUCUCCAAAUGGUACAUCACGAUUUUCAUUUUGAGGAACUUCCAAGUAUCUGACCAGAUAUAUUUGAGAAAGUACAAUCUCCAUGAUUGGCUUUGCGUGAUUGCGUUGAACAACGACAAGGACCGGUAAGACCUAAGAUACUUAAGCAUGUACAAGCUAAGAUAUACUUAAACAUGUACAAGCUAAGAAAUUUCAACCUAUAUAAUGAGUUUUCUUUCUUAGUUUUCUUCCAGUGCCAAGGAAUAAAUGCUUGGCGUUCUUCCUCUGUUUUCUUAAAAGAAUAGGUCGGAUCUGUUUAAGAAGUUGCAGAAGAAAAAAGCAUUUUCCAUGAUGUAUAAAGAGAGAAGAGCAGCAACUACUAGCUUAAUCUCCAUGUAUUGUCAAACGGACUGUAAAAAAGACGUUUGCUUGGUUCCGUAAGCAGAUGUUAGUCUCAGGUUCCGCCCUGCAGGGAUUGAUAUAGUAACCGGUUGGGGUAGACAUUUUAGAGUUACUGCUACAGAAAUUGUGAGACAAACCGUUGAAGAGCUGCUCUACAUCUUUGGCUCAGCGUUUUUCAUGGAGAUUGAAAACUCAGAUUGUUUAGUUGUAUGUGGUGAGUCUCUGAUUGCUUUAGUCUAACGUUGAUAGGAUGCAUUUGCUGUGAGUUUUGUUUGUUUCUCAUUUUUUACUUUUUACAAAGUAUUACCUACUACCCAGUGUUGUACCUGAAGCUCUUUAUUAGUCUUCACAAGCCAUUUUAGAUCACUUCUCUCGAAUGCCCACCACUUGAGAAACGUCAAGUGAUCCUCAUGUUCAUGUUAUUAACAGGUGUGCCGGAAGCUGUUUAUUAGUCUCAAUUGUAUUUUUAAUGACCUUAAGGUGGAUAUUUUGUAGCUA